rnacentral:rRNA from 1 species
ACGCACGCUGGCGGCGUGCUUAACACCUGCAAGUCGAACGGAAAGGCCCCUUUGUGGGUACUCGAGUGGCGAACGGGUGAGUAACACGUGAGUAACCUGCCCUUGACUUCGGGAUAACUUCAGGAAACUGGGGCUAAUACCGGAUAGGAAUCCUUGCUGCAUGGUGGGGGUUGGAAAGCUUCGGCGGUUUUGGAUGGACUCGCGGCUUAUCAGCUUGUUGGUGGGGUAGUGGCUUACCAAGGCUUUGACGGGUAGCCGGCCUGAGAGGGCGACCGGCCACAUUGGGACUGAGAUACGGCCCAGACUCCUACGGGAGGCAGCAGUGGGGAAUAUUGCACAAUGGGCGGAAGCCUGAUGCAGCAACGCCGCGGGCGGGACGACGGCCUUCGGGUUGUAAACCGCUUUCAGCAGGGGCGAAGCUUGUGGUGACGGUACCUGCAGAAGAAGCACCGGCUAACUACGUG